UGGGGAAUUUUGGACAAUGGGCGAAAGCCUGAUCCAGCAAUGCCGCGUGUGUGAAGAAGGCCUUCGGGUUGUAAAGCACUUUUGUCCGGAAAGAAAUCCUUGGCUCUAAUACAGUCGGGGGAUGACGGUACCGGAAGAAUAAGCACCGGCUAACUACGUGCCAGCAGCCGCGGUAAUACGUAGGGUGCAAGCGUUAAUCGGAAUUACUGGGCGUAAAGCGUGCGCAGGCGGUUUGCUAAGACCGAUGUGAAAUCCCCGGGCUCAACCUGGGAACUGCAUUGGUGACUGGCAGGCUAGAGUAUGGCAGAGGGGGGUAGAAUUCCACGUGUAGCAGUGAAAUGCGUAGAGAUGUGGAGGAAUACCGAUGGCGAAGGCAGCCCCCUGGGCCAAUACUGACGCUCAUGCACGAAAGCGUGGGGAGCAAACAGGAUUAGAUACCCUGGUAGUCCACGCCCUAAAACGAUGUCAACUAGUUGUUGGGGAUUCAUUUCCUUAGUAACGUAGCUAACGCGUGAAGUUGACCGCCUGGGGAGUACGGUCGCAAAGAUUAAAAACUUAAAGGAAUUGACGGGGUCAUAGCUGUUUCCU
rnacentral:rRNA from 1 species